rnacentral:rRNA from 1 species
GGCGAACGCUGGCGGCGGGCUUAACACAUGCAAGUCGAACGGAAAGGCCCUGCGUUUGUGGGGUGCUCGAGUGGCGAACGGGUGAGUAACACGUGAGUAACCUGCUCUUGACUUUGGGAUAACUUCAGGAAAGUGGGGCUAAUACCGUAUAGGAGCUCCUGCUGCGUGGUGGGGGUGGGAAAUUUUCGGCUGGUGGGGAUGGACUCGCGGCUUAUCAGCUUGUUGGUGGGGUAGUGGCUGACCAAGGCUUUGACGGGUAGCCGGCCUGAGAGGGUGACCGGCCACAUGGGGCCUGAGAUACGGCCCAGACUCGUACGGGAGGCAGCAGUGGGGAAUAUUGCACAAUGGGCGGAAGCCGGAUGAAGCAACGCCGCGUGCGGGAUGACGGCCUUCGGGUUGUAAACCGCUUUCGCCUGUGACGAAGCGUGAGUGACGGUAAUGGGUAAAGAAGCACCGGCUAACUACGUG